AUGGCCGCGGUACUUUGACCGUGCUAAGGUAGCACAAUCAAUUGGCCCCUAAUUAGGGUCAGGUAUGAAUGGAGUUACGGGGCUUAGCUGUCUCUAAACUAUUUAAUUGAAGUUGCUGUACAGGUGAAAAAGCCUGUAUUAAGAAAAAAGACGAGAAGACCCUUAGAGUUUUACUUAAAAAAGAAUUAUUUCUUCACUAGUUUUGUUGGGGCAACAUAGGAGAAGAAUUAAACCUCCUAAAGAAUAUAAACCGAUGUUUCUAAAUGUGAACAAACUACCUUAGGGAUAACAGCAUAAUUUUAAAAAUAAGUUUGUGACCUCGAUGUUGGACUAGGAAACUC
rnacentral:rRNA from 1 species